rnacentral:rRNA from 1 species
AUCGAACGCUGGCGGCAGGCCUAACACAUGCAAGUCGAACGAGAGGCGGAAGGGAGAGUAAUGUCAGAGAAAGAGCACGAUGGAGGGGGAUAUCUACUGGACACGGGAGCUAAUACCGCAAACCAUUGGAUGGGCCGAGAUGGGAUUAGCUAGUAGGUGGGGUAAGGGCUCACCUAGGCGACGAUCCCUAGCUGGUCUGAGAGGAUGACCGGCCCCACUGGAACUGCGGCACGGUCCAGACUCCUACGGUAGGCAGCAGUGGGGAAUAUUGCACAAUGGGCGCAAGCCUGAUGCAGCCAUGCCGCGUGUAUGACGAAGGCCUUCGGGUUGUAAAGUACUUUCAGCGAGGAGGCGUUACUCGCAGAAGAAGCACCGGCUAACUCCGUGCCAGCAGCCGCGGUAAUAC